rnacentral:lncRNA from 1 species
UCCAAAGUUAAUUACACACUUUCCCGAAAUUAGGGUUUCAUGUCAAGAAUUCAAAGAUAUAUUACGAGCUAAGCUAUCCCUAAAAAGGAAGGGGGUUUUGCUUAAAUAUAGUUUGGGAUUCAUCUAAGUCCUUUUAAAUAUCUACCCCUGGGCAUAUUCUCAUUUAACCACGAUCGUGCAUGGCUCCCCGUGACCAUGCGACGAUGGUUGUAUGUCGCAACCACGGAUAAAGAAUCACGUUUAUGGUAACCGAGGCUGAUGUAUUCCAGAUCUUCACCUGCAUACUUCUUUCUUCCCUUUUUAUCAAUUUUUAGCUCCCAUCCAUAUCUUUUUGUCUCCUCAACUUUAUGCCUGCAAUGAGUGGAUAUUAGUGC